GAUGAGAACGUAGCGAAAUGCGAUAAGUAGUGUGAAUUGCAGAAUUCAGUGAAUCAUCGAAUCUUUGAACGCACAUUGCGCCCUUUGGUAUUCCAAAGGGCAUGCCUGUUCGAGCGUCAUUUGUACCCUCAAGCUUUGCUUGGUGUUGGGCGUCUUGUCUCUAGCUUUGCUGGAGACUCGCCUUAAAGUAAUUGGCAGCCGGCCUACUGGUUUCGGAGCGCAGCACAAGUCGCACUCUCUAUCAGCAAAGGUCUAGCAUCCAUUAAGCCUUUUUUUCAACUUUUGACCUCGGAUCAGGUAGGGAUACCCGCUGAACUUAAGCAUAUCAAUAAGCGGAGGA
rnacentral:misc_RNA from 1 species